CGCUGGCGGCGUGCCUAACACAUGCAAGUCGAGCGAGGAGAUCCUUCGGGAUGAUCCUAGCGGCGGACGGGUGAGUAACACGUGGGCAACCUGCCUCAUAGAGAGGAAUAGCCUUCCGAAAGGGAGAUUAAUACCUCAUAACAGUUGCAGUUUCGCAUGGAACAGCAAUUAAAGGAGUAAUCCGCUAUGAGAUGGGCCCGCGGCGCAUUAGCUAGUUGGUGAGGUAACGGCUCACCAAGGCGACGAUGCGUAGCGACCUGAGAGGGUGAUCGGCCACAUUGGGACUGAGACACGGCCCAGACUCCUACGGGAGGCAGCAGUGGGGAAUAUUGCACAAUGGGGGAAACCCUGAUGCAGCAACGCCGCGUGAGUGAUGACGGCCUUCGGGUUGUAAAGCUCUGUCUUCAGGGACGAUAAUGACGGUACCUGAGGAGGAAGCCACGGCUAACUACGUGCCAGCCGCCGC
rnacentral:rRNA from 1 species